GACGAACCGUGCGAACGUUUAUUCGGAAUCACUGGGCUUAAAAGCGCGUGUAGGCGGAAGGGCACGUCCGUUGCUGAAAUCCCCCGGCUCAACCGGGGAACGGGCACGGAUACGACUCUUCUGGAGGAACGUAGGGGGACCUGGAACUUCCGGUGGAGCGGUGAAAUGCGUUGAGAUCGGAAAGGAACGCCCGUGGCGAAAGCGAG
rnacentral:rRNA from 1 species